AGUUGGAGCGACCGACUGCCAUCUAAGCUGCUUUCGAAUAAACAGAGAGGAAAGAAAUCUUUUGAUAUUUGGAAGGGUACAAGGCACAUCCACUGGAGGACUUCAGCCCUGUCAAAUUACUAUUAUUGACUCUCAGAGGGGAUCACCAUGGUAACAGGCCUGAGGGAGCCAGCAACGGACCGGAUCCAUCCAGCAUCCAAGGCUGUAGCUCCUCCGUAGCUGGGCAGACAAAGACACACAAAGGAGUUGAUCUCAUCGAUGCAGGUUCCUCCAUUCUGGCAUGGAUUAGACUGGCAGUCAUCAAUGUCUGGAGGGAGAGAAACAGGGGGGAGCGAAUAAGAGAGGGGGACGUGCCGCAGUUCUGCUGUCAAACCUGAGCCGCAGGAGCGAGGAAGAGUAAGGAGCGGGGUGGAAGGCAGGAAAGAGAAAAAGAGAGAGAGACGUGGAGAUGAGAGGGAGGAAGAUCUUCCUGAGCUUCUAUCUUCACCAACAACACCGCCCGCAUUGAUGCACCAGCUGUCUUGCUGGUAGCUACAAAAGCGAACCCUGGAUGAUUGACUUCCUUUAGCUAGCUGCGGGGCAUUGACAUUUCCAUGCCCUUCUACAAAGAUGGAUACCUUUCUAUUGGGCCGCCGCUCGUCCAAACAGCAUGCGAACUCAAUGGACCAUGUUGUGUUGUGUCAAUAACUAUAAUGCUGGUGUGUGCUGAGUGUGUACAGCAGAAUAAAUGAA